AUUGGAACACUGGUUUUCAUACGAUCACCAAAGUUAAGCCAUGUCAUGCCUGAUCAGCACCUAGAUGGGUGACUGAUUGGGAAAACCAGGUGCUGUAAG